rnacentral:rRNA from 1 species
CAAUAGCGUAUAUUAAAGUUGUUGCGGUUAAAAAGCUCGUAGUUGGAUCUCGGCAGGCAGGGGGUGGUUCGCUCUUAGCGCUACUGCCCCAUUUGCCUGUGUGAUUGGCGGAGGUUUCGGGGUGCUCUUCGUUGAGUGACCCGGGGCGCCGUCAGGUUUACUUUGAAAAAAUUAGAGUGCUCAAAGCAGGCUUUUCACGCUUGAAUAUUCGUGCAUGGAAUAAUGGAAUAGGAACUCGUUUCUAUUUUGUUGGUUUUCGGAAAUCGAGUUAAUGAUUAAUAGGGACAAUUGGGGGCAUUAGUAUUCAGACGACAGAGGUGAAAUUCUUGGACCGUCUGAAGACUAACUACUGCGAAAGCAUUUGCCAAGAGUGUUUUCAUUAA